GUCCGCGUGGCUAAUGGAUAAGGCGUCUGACUUCGAAUCAGAAGAUUGCGGUUCGAGUCCUGCGGACG
rnacentral:tRNA from 1 species